UCAAAAGUUUUUCACACUUCUCCCCUGGAUGAAGAAACUCGCAAUAAGUGGAUUCAAAGUAGUAGAUGUAAGGAUUUUAAUAUCACUUUUGAUACUACAGUCUGCAGGCGCCACUUACGGUAAUGACAACAUACGGUUCUACACUAGAUUUGAGAUGUAGAACCAUUUAAUGGCCUUUUGGAGAGUUAUUGAAUCUGCAUUCCACAUGGUUUGUGUGACCAGAGCGAGGACAGCUACAACGAGGAGAGAAGUUGGAAUAACAAGCAAUGCAAUGUGUCAGUCUCUGCAGCCCUUCGAUGAGUUCCUCCUCUUCGUGGUCCAACUUUCAGUCGGUCUUCCACAGAGAGAUCUGGCCUUACACAAAACACUUGGGAUGGA